UACAGAGGUCUUAAGCGUUGUUCGGAUUCAUUGGGCGUAAAGGGUGCGUAGGUGGUUGGGUAAGUCAAAUGUGAAAUCCCGGAGCUCAACUCCGGAACUGCAUUCGAUACUGCCCGGCUCGAGGAUUGGAGAGGAGACUGGAAUUCACGGUGUAGCAGUGAAAUGCGUAGAGAUCGUGAGGAACACCCGUGGCGAAGGCGGGUCUCUGGACAAUUCCUGACACUGAGGCACGAAGGCCAGGGGAGCAAACGGG
rnacentral:rRNA from 1 species